GGGGGAGGAGGAGGAGGAGGAGCGGCGAGCAGCGAGGGCGGCGGCGCGGUGGCGGCAGUCGGUACCGUGGCUUCUUCCUCUUCCGCGGCCGCCGCAGCAGCUUCGGCCGGUUCAGCCCGCCGCCCUUCGUCUUCUUCUUCUUCACCUCGUUCCCGUUCGUUUUCCUCUUCCACUUGUUGCGCCACGAGAAGCUGGUCCGGUGGAUGCUGUUCGACGAGUGGCUCCACGGGUUCAUGUUCGUCUAGUGCGGGAGGCAGGAGAGGCUCGCUGAGUCCUAGUUGCCCAGCGACCGAGCGUCCCGGUAGUUCCUGGACUACCUCUCCCCCGAGUAGUCCUACCACAGCUAGGUGAGGUCGGUCGUCUAGAAGUGGUCCCGGUGUUUGUGGACUAAAUGGAUGGAGUACACAAUCGACGGACAAAAGAUCAGGUCAUCUGACUCUACAGCGACAAUAUAACUGCAAGUAAUACAAGUCGCUCCGUGAAACACCCAGAACAGAACGCGAGCACGGUGUUCAUACAAACUUAACGAAAACUCAAAAACC
rnacentral:rRNA from 1 species